rnacentral:rRNA from 1 species
GACGAACGCUGGCGGCGUGCUUAACACAUGCAAGUCGAACGGAAAGGCGCUGCGUUUGUGGGGUUCUCGAUUGGCGAACGGGUGAGUGACACGCGAGUAACCUGCCCCUGUCUGUGGGAUAAAUUUAGGAGACUCGGGCGAAUACAGGAUAGGAUAUCCUGCUGCAUGUGGGUGGUUGGAAAAAUACGGCGGUGGUGGAUGGUCUGGCGGCUUAUCAGCUGGAUGGUGUAGUAGUGGCUUACCAGGGCUUUGACGGGUAGCCGGCCUGAGAGCGUGACCGGGCACAAUGGGCCUGAGAGACGGCCCAGUCGCCUACGGGAGGCAGCAGUGGGGAGUAUUGCACAAUGGGCCGACGCCUGAUGCAGCAACGCCGCGUGCGUGAUGCCGGCUUUCGGGUUGUAAACCGCUGUCGCCUGUGACGAAGCGUGAGUGACGGUACUGGGUCAAGAAGCAACGGCUAACUACGUG